rnacentral:rRNA from 1 species
AGAGGCCCAAGUUGAUAGCCUUCGGCGUAAAGAGUGGUUAAGUUAGCCCUAGCUAUACUAAAGUCGAACACACCCAAAACUGUGAUACGUUCUCGGAGAAAUGAAGCCCAACUACGAAAGUGACUUUAAAGCAUCUGACCCCACGAAAGCUGUGAAACAAACUGGGAUUAGAUACCCCACUAUGCCCAGCCCUAAACUUUGAUAAUUUAGUACACUAAUUAUCCGCCUGGGUACUACAAGCAUAA